ACUUCGGUGGGGAUUAGUGGCGAACGGGUGAGUAACACGUGGGCAAUCUGCCCUGCACUCUGGGACAAGCCCUGGAAACGGGGUCUAAUACCGGAUACUGACCCGCUUGGGCAUCCAAGCGGUUCGAAAGCUCCGGCGGUGCAGGAUGAGCCCGCGGCCUAUCAGCUAGUUGGUGAGGUAAUGGCUCACCAAGGCGACGACGGGUAGCCGGCCUGAGAGGGCGACCGGCCACACUGGGACUGAGACACGGCCCAGACUCCUACGGGAGGCAGCAGUGGGGAAUAUUGCACAAUGGGCGAAAGCCUGAUGCAGCGACGCCGCGUGAGGGAUGACGGCCUUCGGGUUGUAAACCUCUUUCAGCAGGGAAGAAGCGAAAGUGACGGUACCUGCAGAAGAAGCGCCGGCUAACUACGUGCCAGCAGCCGCGGUAAUACGUAGGGCGCGAGCGUUGUCCGGAAUUAUUGGGCGUAAAGAGCUCGUAGGCGGCUUGUCACGUCGGUUGUGAAAGCCCGGGGCUUAACCCCGGGUCUGCAGUCGAUACGGGCAGGCUAGAGUUCGGUAGGGGAGAUCGGAAUUCCUGGUGUAGCGGUGAAAUGCGCAGAUAUCAGGAGGAACACCGGUGGCGAAGGCGGAUCUCUGGGCCGAUACUGACGCUGAGGAGCGAAAGCGUGGGGAGCGAACAGGAUUAGAUACCCUGGUAGUCCACGCCGUAAACGGUGGGCACUAGGUGUGGGCGACAU
rnacentral:rRNA from 1 species